rnacentral:rRNA from 1 species
AAAGGGGGCAACCCCCGGUAGCGUGGCAGACGGGUGAGUAACACGUGGGUAACCUACCCGGAGGUGGGGGAUAACCCUUCGAAAGGAGGGCUAAUACCGCAUGAAACCGCGGGGACCUCGGUCCUUGCGAUCAAAGCUGGCCUCUGUUUACAAGCUAGCGCCACCGGAUGGGCCCGCGCCCCAUUAGCUAGUUGGUGAGGUAACGGCUCACCAAGGCGACGAUGGGUAGCCGGCCUGAGAGGGCGAUCGGCCACACUGGAACUGCGACACGGUCCAGACUCCUACGGGAGGCAGCAGUGAGGAAUAUUGCGCAAUGGGCGAAAGCCUGACGCAGCGACGCCGCGUGGAGGAUGAAGGUCUUCGGAUUGUAAACUCCUGUCGAGUGGGACGAAUGCCGUGAGGGUGAACAAUCCUUGCGGUUGACGGUACCGCUGGAGGAAGCCCCGGCUAACUCCGUGCCAGCAGCCGCGGUAAUACGGAGGGGGCUAGCGUUGUUCGGAAUCAUUGGGCGUAAAGGGCGCGUAGGCGGCCGAUCAAGUCGGAGGUGAAAUCCCUCGGCUCAACUGAGGAACUGCCUUCGAUACUGUUCGGCUUGAGUCCUGGAGAGGGUAGCGGAAUUCCCGGUGUAGCGGUGAAAUGCGUAGAGACCGGGAAGAACACCAGUGGCGAAGGCGGCUACCUGGACAGGUACUGACGCUGAAGCGCGAAAGCUAGGGGAGCAAACAGGAUUAGAUACCCUGGUAGUCCUAGCUGUAAACGAUGGGCACUUGGUGUUGCGGGUAUCGACCCCUGCAGUGCCGAAGCUAACGCAUUAAGUGCCCCGCCUGGGGAGUACGGUCGC